rnacentral:rRNA from 1 species
CACGUAGGCACCAAGCGUUGUCCGGAUUUAUUGGGCGUAAAGAGCUCGUAGGCGGUUCAGUAAGUCGGGUGUGAAAACUUUGGGCUUAACCCAAAGCGUGCAUCCGAUACUGCUGUGACUUGAGUUCGGUAGGGGAGUGGGGAAUUCCUAGUGUAGCGGUGAAAUGCGCAGAUAUUAGGAGGAACGACCGGUGGCGAAGGCGCCACUCUGGGCCGAAACUGGAA